rnacentral:rRNA from 1 species
UCAAGCUACUAAGGGCAUACGGUGGAUGCCUUGGCACUAAGAGCCGAUGAAGGACGCGGUAAGCUGCGAAAAGCCACGGGGAACUGCAAGCAAGUCUUGAUCCGUGGAUGUCCGAAUGGGGAAACCCACCAUCCGUCAUGGGAUGGUAUCCUACGGGAGGGGAACCCGGUGAACUGAAACAUCUAAGUAGCCGGAGGAAGAGAAAUCAAACGAGAUGCCCACAGUAGCGGCGAGCGAAGAGGGCAGAGCCUAAACCAGUCAUCUUCGGAUGGUUGGGGUUACGGACCUGCAUCAACCGAGUCCUACCUAGUCGAAUUACCUGGAAAGGUAAGCCAGAGAGCGUAAGAGCCGCGUAGGUGAAAGGAAGGACGAGGGGGCAGGGAUCCAGAGUACCACGAAGCACGAGGAAUUUUGUGGGAAGUCGGGGGGACCACCCUCCAAGGCUAAACACUUCUUAGUGACCGAUAGCGCAUAGUACCGUGAGGGAAAGGUGAAAAGAACCGCGGGAGCGGAGUGAAAGAGAACCUGAAACCGUAUGUCUACAAGCAGUCGGAGCGCAAGCGACGGCGUGCCUAUUGAAGAAUGAGCCAACGAGUUACGGGCACCAGCGAGGUUAAGCAGGAAAUGCGGAGCCGGAGCGAAAGCGAGUCUAAACAGGGCGGAUAGUUGGUGUUCGUAGACCCGAAACUGUAGUGAUCUACCCAUGAUCAGGUUGAAGCGCAGGUAAAAAUGCGUGGAGGACCGAACCGGUGAGCGUUGAAAAGCUUUCGGAUGAAUCGUGGGUAGCGGUGAAAUUCCAAUCGAACGCAGAGAUAGCUGGUUCUCCUCGAAAUAGCUUUAGGGCUAGCCUCAAGCAGUAAGCAUAGGCGGUAGAGCACUGAUCGGGAUAGGGUCCGUAAAGGAUACCGAACCCUGUCAAACUACGAAUGGUUAUGCUGCAGAGCUUGGGAGUCAGACUACGAGAGAUAAGUCCCGUUGUCAAAAGGGAAACAGCCCAGACCGUCAGCUAAGGUCCCCAAUGCCAUACUAAGUGGAAAAGGAUGUGGGGUCUCAUAAACAACCAGGAUGUUGGCUCAGAAGCAGCCACCAUUUAAAGAGUGCGUAAUAGCUCACUGGUCGAGAGGCCCUGCGCCGAAGAUUCCCGGGGCUAAAGUAUGGAACCGAAGCUACGGAUGCGGUACUUGUACCGCGUGGUAGAGGAGCGUUCCCAUUGGGUUGAAGUCGUCCUGGAAGGGACGGUGGACUGGUGGGAAGUGAGAAUGUUGGCAUGAGUAGCGAAAAGAUAGGUGAGAAUCCUAUCCACCGAAAGCAUAAGGAUUCCUGAGCAACGAUCGUCGUCUCAGGGUAAGUCGGGACCUAAUCCGAGGCAUGGAGCGUAGGAGAUGGACAACUGGUUGAUAUUCCAGUACCGGCAGCAAUCGUUUGAACGAUGGAGUGACGCAGGAAGGCAGGUCCGCGCGAGAAUGGUAGAUCGCGUACAAGCGUGCAGGCUGGUGCACAGGCAAAUCCGUGUACUGAGGCUGAGGCGUGAUGUGGAGGGAACUUGUUCCCGAAGGGAUUGAGCCUACGCUGCCGAGAAAAGCUUCUAGUGAGAAAGCUGCCGCCCGUACCGUAAACCGACACAGGUAUGCGGGGAGAGAAUCCUAAGGUGCGCGGGAGAACCCUCGUUAAGGAACUCGGCAAAAUGUACCCGUAACUUCGGGAUAAGGGUAGCCACAGUGGUGAAGGGACUUGCUCCUGGAGCCUAGUGUGGUCGCAGAGAAGAGGCCCAAGCGACUGUUAACCAGAAACACAGGUGCCUGCGAAAGAGAAAUCUGAUGUAUAGGUGCUGACACCUGCCCAGUGCUGGAAGGUUAAAGAAGGAUGUCCGGGUUCGACCCAAAGCAUUUGACUGAAGCCCCAGUGAACGGCGGCCGUAACUAUAACGGUCCUAAGGUAGCGAAAUUCCUUGUCGGGUAA